rnacentral:rRNA from 1 species
UACGAAGGGGGCUAGCGUUGUUCGGAAUCACUGGGCGUAAAGGGCGCGUAGGCGGCUGUUCAAGUCGGGGGUGAAAUCCUGUGGCUCAACCACGGAAUGGCCUUCGAUACUGGACGGCUAGAGACCGGAAGAGGUGAGUGGAACUGCGAGUGUAGAGGUGAAAUUCGUAGAUAUUCGCAAGAACACCAGUGGCGAAGGCGGCUCACUGGUCCGGUUCUGACGCUGAGGCGCGAAAGCGUGGGGAGCAAACAGG